UUGACUAACCAAGUCAAGCCUUUACAUUGCAAAUUCAGUGUUGAAGAAAUUUCUUGGUUCUUUUAGGUUUCUUUCUGUGAUCCAAUUCAUCGCCUUCAUAUUUCUGCAGGAAGGAACAUGAAAAGAAAAAGAAAAAAGCCCUCACAGCCUCAUAGGGGUUUCUAUCCUGCUGACAUCCCAAAGAAACCAGACGGCAGAGUUACAGAUAACAUCACCUUUUCGAAACCUAAAGGUAGCUUCUGAGAUAUCUUCCGGUCUACAUUCCAGGGGAUUGGCUGACCCACCCAGAGGGGCAGCCCGUCCCAAGAAACUGACUCAGCUGGAAUCGUGACCCCAACCCAGGAACUGACUCGACACAAGAAGAUGAUUUCUACACCCCCAUAAUUUGGCCCUGAACCUAACCAAUUGGCAAACCCAAUUGCCUAAUCCUUUGCCUGCCAAACUAUCUUUAAAAACCCUAUCUCCCAAAUUCUCGGGGAGGUGGACUUGAGGAAUUCCUCCCAUCUCCUCGCUUAGUGCUUUGCAGAAUUAAACCGUUUCUCUGUUGCAACCCUA